rnacentral:rRNA from 1 species
GACGAACGCUGGCGGCGUGCUUAACACAUGCAAGUCGAACGGAAAGGCCCUGCUUUUGUGGGGUGCUCGAGUGGCGAACGGGUGAGUAACACGGGAGUAACCUGCCCUUGACUUUGGGAUAACUUCAGGAAACUGGGGCUAAUACCGGAUAGGAGCUCCUGCUGCAUGGUGGGGGUUGGAAAGUUUCGGCGGGUGGGGAUGGACUCGCGGCUUAUCAGCUUGUUGGUGGGGUAGUGGCUUACCAAGGCUUUGACGGGUAGCCGGCCUGAGAGGGUGACCGGCCACAUUGGGACUGAGCUACGGCCCAGACUCCUACGGGAGGCAGCAGUGGGGAAUAUUGCACAAUGGGCGGAAGCCUGAUGCAGCAACGCCGCGUGCGGGAUGACGGCCUUCGGGUUGUAAACCGCUUUCGCCUGUGACGAAGCGUGAGUGACGGUAAUGGGUCAAGAAGCACCGGCUAACUACGUG